AACGAACGCUGGCGGCAUGCCUAACACAUGCAAGUCGAACGAGAUCUUCGGGUCUAGUGGCGCACGGGUGCGUAACGCGUGGGAAUCUGCCCUUUGGUUCGGAAUAACAGUUGGAAACGACUGCUAAUACCGGAUGAUGACGAAAGUCCAAAGAUUUAUCGCCAGAGGAUGAGCCCGCGUAGGAUUAGCUAGUUGGUGUGGUAAAGGCGCACCAAGGCGAUGAUCCUUAGCUGGUCUGAGAGGAUGAUCAGCCACACUGGGACUGAGACACGGCCCAGACUCCUACGGGAGGCAGCAGUGGGGAAUAUUGGACAAUGGGCGAAAGCCUGAUCCAGCAAUGCCGCGUGAGUGAUGAAGGCCUUAGGGUUGUAAAGCUCUUUUACCCGGGAUGAUCAUGACAGUACCGGGAGAAUAAGCUCCGGCUAACUCCGUGCCAGCCGCCGCAGUAA
rnacentral:rRNA from 1 species